AGUUUGUUGGUAGGGUAAUGGCCUACCAAGACUAUGAUCAAUAGCUGAUUUGAGAGGAUGAUCAGCCACAUUGGGACUGAGACACGGCCCAAACUCCUACGGGAGGCAGCAGUGGGGAAUCUUGCACAAUGGAGGAAACUCUGAUGCAGCGAUGCCGCGUGAGUGAAGAAGGCCUUUGGGUUGUAAAGCUCUUUCGUCGGGGAAGAAAAUGACUGUACCCGAAUAAGAAGGUCCGGCUAACUUCGUGCCAGCAGCCGCGGUAAUACGAAGGGACCUAGCGUAGUUCGGAAUUACUGGGCUUAAAGAGUUCGUAGGUGGUUGAAAAAGUUGGUGGUGAAAUCCCAGAGCUUAACUCUGGGACUGCCAUCAAAACUUUUCAGCUAGAGUAUGAUAGAGGAAAGCAGAAUUUCUAGUGUAGAGGUGAAAUUCGUAGAUAUUAGAAAGAAUACCAAUUGCGAAGGCAGCUUUCUGGAUCAUUACUGACACUGAGGAACGAAAGCAU
rnacentral:rRNA from 1 species